CUCACUGCAACCUCUGCCUCCCAGGUUCAAGUGAUUCUCCUGCCUCAGCCUCCCGAGUAGCUGGGACUGCAGGCGCGUACCACCACGCCUGGCUAAUUUUUUGUAUUUUUAUAGAGUUGGGGUUUCACCGUGUUAGCCAGGAUGGUCUCGAUCUCCUGACCUCGUGAGCCACCCACCUUGGCCUCCCAAAGUGCUGGGAUUACAGGCAUGAGCCAACACCCCUGGCCCUGCUUGACUCUUAUUAGUCCCUUUCCCUUACUUCCCUGCUUCUUUCUGUGGGGUUUUAUUUUUCCCCUUUGUCAGCUCUUGCCAGGUUACCAAGCAUACCCUGUCCCUGGCUUUCUUGGUUGCUCCCAAAUCUGUGAUGGCUUGCUCUGUUGCCCAGGCUGGAAUGAAAUGGCACGAUCUCAGCUCACUGCAACCUCUGCCUCCCGGAUUCAAGUGAUUCUCCUGCCUCAGCCUCCUGAGUAGCUGGGAUUACAGUCACCAUUUCAGCUAAUUUUUGUGUUUUUAGUAGAGACGGGGUUUCACCAUGUUGGCCAGGCUGGUUUCAAACUCCUUUGUCAUCUGCUCAGAGGGAAGAAGGUCUCAACACUGAAAGGAAGCUCUGAGUAUGUGGGUGAGGCUUGCUGACUUUGAGCUUCACCCUACGGUGAUCUGGAUAGGCCAUGUACGGAGAAACAUCUGAUUCAGGAUUUUAAGUUAUUUCUUUUUGGAUUGGUCAUGUUCCCCAGAGCAGUCUUCUGAUCUCUUUUUUGGAAGAUGGAAGUUCUGGGAGCUGAGUGGGGUUGAGGGGGUUGGGGUUGGGGUUGGCUCUCAG
rnacentral:lncRNA from 1 species